AUCGCUUCUCUGUCUUUUGGCUAAGAUCAAGUGUAGUAUCAAAUAAUAAUUGAUACAUUUUACAUGUAUGAGAUCUUUUUUUAUUAAGAAUAAAAUGUUAUGCCCUAACUAGUUUGGCUCAGUGGAUAGGGCGUCAGCC
rnacentral:snRNA from 1 species